rnacentral:rRNA from 1 species
AUUGAACGCUGGCGGUAUGCUUAACACAUGCAAGUCGAACGGUAACAGGCCUUCGGGCGCUGACGAGUGGCGGACGGGUGAGUAGCGCGUAGGAAUCUGCCUCAUAGUGGGGGACAACGUGGGGAAACUCACGCUAAUACCGCAUACGCCCUACGGGGGAAAGCGGGGGAUCUUCGGACCUCGCGCUAUGAGAUGAGCCUGCGUUAGAUUAGCUAGUUGGUAGGGUAAAGGCCUACCAAGGCGACGAUCUAUAGCUGGUCUGAGAGGACGAUCAGCCACACUGGGACUGAGACACGGCCCAGACUCCUACGGGAGGCAGCAGUGGGAAUAUGGACAAUGGGCGCAAGCCUGAUCCAGCAAUACCGCGUGUGUGAAGAAGG